UCCUAUCCCCGAUAGUAGUGGAAAUCCUUGUUGCCCGGGGUUUGGGCAACAAGAUUGCAACGGAUUGCUUCGCCAGUU
rnacentral:sRNA from 1 species